UGGGGAAUUUUGGACAAUGGGCGCAAGCCUGAUCCAGCCAUGCCGCGUGCGGGAAGAAGGCCUUCGGGUUGUAAACCGCUUUUGUCAGGGAAGAAAUCUUCUGAGUUAAUACCUCGGGAGGAUGACGGUACCUGAAGAAUAAGCACCGGCUAACUACGUGCCAGCAGCCGCGGUAAUACGUAGGGUGCAAGCGUUAAUCGGAAUUACUGGGCGUAAAGCGUGCGCAGGCGGUUUUGUAAGACAGAGGUGAAAUCCCCGGGCUCAACCUGGGAACUGCCUUUGUGACUGCAAGGCUUGAGUGCGGCAGAGGGGGGAUGGAAUUCCGCGUGUAGCAGUGAAAUGCGUAGAUAUGCGGAGGAAACACCGAUGGCGAAAGGCAAUCCCCUGGGCCUGCACUGACGCUCAUGCACGAAAGCGUGGGGAGCAAAACAGGAUUAGAUACCCUGGUAGUCCACGCCCUAAACGAUGUCAACUGGUUGUUGGGAAGGUUCCUUCUCAGUAACGUAGCUAACGCGUGAAGUUGACCGCCUGGGGAGUACGGCCGCAAGGUU
rnacentral:rRNA from 1 species